rnacentral:rRNA from 1 species
UACGUAGGGUGCGAGCGUUGUCCGGAAUUAUUGGGCGUAAAGAGCUCGUAGGCGGUCUGUCGCGUCUGCUGUGAAAACUCAGGGCUUAACCCUGAGCUUGCAGUGGGUACGGGCAGACUAGAGGUAUGCAGGGGAGAACGGAAUUCCUGGUGUAGCGGUGAAAUGCGCAGAUAUCAGGAGGAACACCGGUGGCGAAGGCGGUUCUCUGGGCAUGAUCUGACGCUGAGGAGCGAAAGUGUGGGGAGCGAACAGG